GAGGGUAUAGCUUAGUUGGCAGAGUGCAUGCUUAGCAUGCACGAGGUCCUGGGUUCAAUCCCCAGUACCUCCA
rnacentral:tRNA from 1 species